rnacentral:rRNA from 1 species
AUGACUGAUGUUCAGCGUGAGGCUGUCGUUAGUGGUGGAGAUGAUGCUCGUGGUGUUCCAUUGAGUAGUGGGCGCGAUGUUGGUACCAAAGUUGCUGAUGACGAUGUUGGUGCUGCCAUCAUACUUGAUGCCAAAUCUUCUGGUGUUGGUAUUGCUGGGAAUGAAAAUCUUUCUGAUUGUGAAGAUUUGCCGCCGGAGAAUUUCCCGCCUGGAGGGCUUGAUUACGGUGAUGCAUUGGAAGAUGCCUCUAGCGUGGAGGAGGUGCCAUCCGAGGAUGAUGAUUUACUUCUGUCGAUUUCUUCUGGCCCCUUGACGCAGGAGGUGCUCGUGUCGUCCCAGGAUUUUCUUUCUUCAGACCCUGAAAGCGCAGCGAUAUUGGUGUCCUCACAAGAUCUCCCAUCGUCAAAUCCAGAAACUGGAGGCAUAUUGGUCCCAUCACAGGAACUCCCGUCGUCAAACACUGAUAGUGCAGAAAGUGGUAAUGUUGUUAAGGUUGAUUUGUUUUUCUUCGUUGUUACGAGGUUGCGCACGAACCGUGCGAAACGUGAGAAGCCGAUGUUUCAAAAUAGCGAAUGUGAUGCCAGUGUUGGUUCUAUUGCUAAAGCGUUUGUCCCCACUGGCAUGCUCAACUCAGACAGUGCUGAAGUUGUUUAUAUUCUCUAUAUAAGAAGUACCGAGACACUGAUAAGUUGA